ACGGGUGAGUAAUACAUCGGAACGUGUCCUGUAGUGGGGGAUAGCCCGGCGAAAGCCGGAUUAAUACCGCAUACGAUCUGUGGAUGAAAGCGGGGGAUCCUUCGGGACCUCGCGCUACAGGGGCGGCCGAUGGCAGAUUAGCUAGUUGGUGGGGUAAAGGCCUACCAAGGCGACGAUCUGUAGCUGGUCUGAGAGGACGACCAGCCACACUGGGACUGAGACACGGCCCAGACUCCUACGGGAGGCAGCAGUGGGGAAUUUUGGACAAUGGGCGAAAGCCUGAUCCAGCAAUGCCGCGUGUGUGAAGAAGGCCUUCGGGUUGUAAAGCACUUUUGUCCGGAAAGAGAACCUCGUGGUUAAUACCCGUGGGGGAUGACGGUACCGGAAGAAUAAGCACCGGCUAACUACGUGCCAGCAGCCGCGGUAAUACGUAGGGUGCAAGCGUUAAUCGGAAUUACUGGGCGUAAAGCGUGCGCAGGCGGUCCGCUAAGACAGAUGUGAAAUCCCCGGGCUUAACCUGGGAACUGCAUUUGUGACUGGCGGGCUAGAGUAUGGCAGAGGGGGGUAGAAUUCCACGUGUAGCA
rnacentral:rRNA from 1 species